GAUGAACGCUGGCGGCGUGCCUAAUACAUGCAAGUCGAGCGAACGGACGAGAAGCUUGCUUCUCUGAUGUUAGCGGCGGACGGGUGAGUAACACGUGGAUAACCUACCUAUAAGACUGGGAUAACUUCGGGAAACCGGAGCUAAUACCGGAUAAUAUUUUGAACCGCAUGGUUCAAAAGUGAAAGACGGUCUUGCUGUCACUUAUAGAUGGAUCCGCGCUGCAUUAGCUAGUUGGUAAGGUAACGGCUUACCAAGGCAACGAUGCAUAGCCGACCUGAGAGGGUGAUCGGACACACUGGAACUGAGACACGGUCCAGACUCCUACGGGAGGCAGCAGUAGGGAAUCUUCUGCAAUGGGCGAAAGCAUGACGGAGCAACGCGGCGUGAGUGAUGAAGAUCUUCGGAUCGUAAAACUCUGUUAUUAGGGAAGAACAUAUGUGUAAGUAACUGUGCACAUCUUGACGGUACCUAAUCAGAAAGCCACGGCUAACUACGUG
rnacentral:rRNA from 1 species